AUUUAAAUAGUUUAAUAAAAGAAAAUAUUAGAGUGUGGAUCUAAAGAUAUAAAAGUAAUAUUUUAAAUU
rnacentral:tRNA from 1 species